rnacentral:rRNA from 1 species
GAUGAACGCUGGCGGCGUGCUUAAUACAUGCCAGUCGAACGGUCAGGCGCUGCGGUUUCUCCUAUUACCUUACGGGCGAGCAACAGGUGAGCACUUGGCUAACCUACCUGGGAUACGGCGGUGACAUCGGGUAUACUAAGCUAAUGCCGCAUAGUAUAUAUGACCUCAUGGGGAAAUCGUUUACGGCGGUUUUUGUGCCACCGACCUAUGAACUCGGGCGGCAGUGGCUAGUUGGCAAGGUAACGGCUUACCAAGGCAACGAUGCGUAGCCGACCUGAGAGGGUGAUCGGCCACACUGGAACUGAGACACGGUCCAGACUCCUACGGGAGGCAGCAGUAGGGAAUCUUCCGCAAUGGGCGAAAGCCUGACGGAGCAACGCCGCGUGAGUGAUGAAGGUCUUCGGAUCGUAAAACUCUGUUAUUAGGGAAGAACAAAUGUGUAAGUAACUAUGCACGUCUUGACGGUACCUAAUCAGAAAGCCACGGCUAACUACGUG